GAUGAACGCUGGCGGCGUGCCUAAUACAUGCAAGUCGAGCGAACAGACGCGGAGCUUGCUCCUCUGUCGAUAGCGGCGGACGGGUGAGUAACACGUGGAUCCUCUACCUAUAAGACGGGUAUCAUUUGGGGACACCGGAGCUAAUCCCGGAUAAGCUCUUGAACCGUAGGGGUGAAUAGAGAGUGUCGGUGCUGGGGUCUGUACUAGCGGCUUCUCCGCCGCUUUGGCUGGUUGUUAAGGUAAAGGCUUACCACGGGUACGAUGCGUGUCCGACAGGCGAGGGUGGGCAGCCGCACUGGAACUGAGACACGGUCCAGAGUCCUACGGGAGGCAGCCGUAGGGAUUCUGCCGCAAUGGGCGAAGGCCUGACGGAGCAACGCCGCGUGAGGGAGGAAGGUCUUCGGGUCGUAAAACUCUGUUAUUAGGGAAGAACAAAUGUGUAAGUGACACGGCGCGUCUGGACGGUACCUAAGCAGAGGACCACGGCUAACUUCGUG
rnacentral:rRNA from 1 species